rnacentral:rRNA from 1 species
UACAGAGGUCUCAAGCGUUGUUCGGAUUCAUUGGGCGUAAAGGGUGCGUAGGUGGCGCUGUAAGUCGGGUGUGAAAUUUCGGAGCUUAACUCCGAAACUGCAUUCGAUACUGCGGUGCUUGAGGACUGGAGAGGAGACUGGAAUUCCCAGUGUAGAGGUGAAAUUCGUAGAUAUUGGGAAGAACACCAGUGGCGAAGGCGGCUACCUGGACCAAUAUUGACGCUGAGGAGCGAAAGCCAGGGGAGCAAACGGG